rnacentral:rRNA from 1 species
CCUACGGGUGGCAGCAGUGGGGAAUAUUGGACAAUGGGGGGAACCCUGAUCCAGCCAUGCCGCGUGUGUGAAGAAGGCCCUCGGGUUGUAAAGCACUUUCAGUGAGGAAGAACGCCUGGUGGUUAAUACCCAUCAGGAAAGACAUCACUCACAGAAGAAGCACCGGCUAACUCCGUGCCAGCAGCCGCGGUAAUACGGAGGGUGCGAGCGUUAAUCGGAAUUACUGGGCGUAAAGCGCGCGUAGGUGGCUUGAUAAGCCAGUUGUGAAAGCCCCGGGCUCAACCUGGGAACGGCAUCCGGAACUGUCAAGCUAGAGUGCAGGAGAGGAAGGUAGAAUUCCCGGUGUAGCGGUGAAAUGCGUAGAGAUCGGGAGGAAUACCAGUGGCGAAGGCGGCCUUCUGGACUGACACUGACACUGAGGUGCGAAAGCGUGGGUAGCAAACAGGAUUAGAUACCCUAGUAGUC